CAAUUCUCCUGUCUCAUCAUCCCAAAGUGCCAGGAUUACAGAGCACAUGAGCCUGCAAGGCCCAGAUCAACACCUGACUCAGACAGAACACCAGGGCAGUGCACAGCUGGGAUUUCAGUCUCUGCUCUCAGCUCCCAGGUCCACUGGCUCUACUGAGGGCACCUACACUCUGCAGCCAGGCGGCCUGGAUUGAACGCCCUGCCCAGGACCCACACACAGGCACUGCAGCAGCGACAGGAGGAGGGGGCGCUGGGAACAGGAAGGACACCACCGCUUGGCCUCCGGCACCGGAGGGACAACCUGGAGGGCUCCGGGAGCACCGCAAAGGUCCAAGCGGAGCCAAUCCUCACAAGCCCAGGGAAGGGCAACGUGACAGGCCGGCGGGACAGCCCCACCGCCGCGAAGAGGGGCUGCCCAAAAGGCAACAGCCAUAGGAGAUGAGCAGGGGUGCCUGCUGCGUCGGAGAACUCAUCUCCCCAACCCCACCGACGCCACAAGGUAGAGGGCGAGGACAGCGAGGUCGGCCGGAUUCCGCACCCCUGCCUCCAACCACCGCCCAUGGGCGGGGAGGAGAGACUACCGACCGCAAGCGGAACGCAGAACGAGAAGAGCCGUCCCGUUAGCCAUGAAUGUGUCCCUCAUCUGUACCGCCUCCGGCCCCGCCCGGGAGAACGCGACGUCACCACAUCCAUCACUUGUUCUCUUUCACUCUUCCCGUUCUUUCCUUUUCCCAGUAUAUUUAUAUAGUAAUUAUGUUUAAUUCAGCCACUCCUUGUUUUUUUCCGUGACUCAUCUUCUCAUAUGUCAACUUGACUACUUUUCACUUGCUUCGUAGUAUUUGUUCUUCCUCAAGUUAAUACUUGCCUUUGUUUUUGUUUAUGUUCUAGAUAACUCUCAUUAAUUUAACUUUGAUAUCUGUUCCAUUUCUGUGACUCUGUUAAGAAAUUAGAGACUUUGAACUUUCUAUUAAUUUUACUUUCUUGGAAAUGUCCCUCUUGGGCCCUUCUGGCUGCUCCCAUCUGGACUGGAGGCUUCUACCUGUGGGACAGAGUCACCUUCCUAGGAUCUCCCUCCACCACCAUCUGGGGCGGUGCUUUACAUGCAGUGGAGCCACCUGGGGUCCUGACAAAUGCAGACUGAUCAACCUGUCAAGGCUGGGCCUGUGAGCCUUUCUGUCCAGUUUCAUGAGAUGCUGGUUCUGCUGGUUCAUGGAUAAUAGCUGGGGUAGCAAGGAUCUCUCUUUUUGUCUCACAGUUUUCUGCAUCUCUUUUUCAUAGUAAGCACAUGCUAAUAUAUUUUCAAUAAAUUCAUGUGCUCUUUUCCUAAGUUGGUAUCAGAGCUAAUUAUUUUUUUCAUUGCGCCAAAAUCCAUAUUAUAUAAAAUUUGGUAUCGUAACAAUUUUUAAGUAUAGAGUACUAUAAUAUGAACUGUAGCACAUUGUUAUGCAACAGAUCUCUAGAACUUUUCAUCUUGCAAAACUGAAACUCUACGCUGAAAAUCUCCUCAAGAAUCCCCCCAGCCUAACCACUGGCAGCCGCCAUUCUACUUUCAGGUUCUAAGAGUUUAGACGCCGCAUAUAACGAAUUGCGCAGUAUUGGAAUUUCCUUGUGAUUGGCUUAUUACACUUAGCAUUGUUCUCCAGGUUCAUCCAUGUUGCAGCAUGUAACAGAAUUUCCUUCUUUUUAAGGUUGAAUCAUAUUCCAUUGCCUACAUAGACCACAUGUUCUUCAUCUAUUCAUGUGUUGAUGGGUGCUUUGUUUGCUUCCUUGUCUUGGCUAUGCACCUUCCAGGAACGUGAGAAGGAGACAGUUUUCGCUACAGUUGAUUAAGGGAGAGCCCGCUAGGCUGGGCAGGAGGAUUUUUACCGGGAACCUGUGCGAUGAGCUGUGACAUCCUUCUCCCCACCUUCAAUCUCAGCCCCAGCAGGCACCUCCUGGGCGCAGAAGCAGUGCAGCGGCGCCACCUGGCGGUCUGCACUCUUCCUUUCCCAGAUCAAGCACAGCCCUGAAAUCCACCUGUCCCUCCUCUGUGCCUGUGAUUUCUUCAGGGGACACCAGCGUGGGUCAACUUUCUUGUAAAGCAGAACAAGCGUGAGAUUGGACCAUGUUACAGGAGGAAUGGUGUCAUCUCUACCUGUGGAGAGAUCCCUGUCACCGUGUUCAGGGGA
rnacentral:lncRNA from 1 species